rnacentral:rRNA from 1 species
GACGAACGCUGGCGGCGUGCUUAACACAUGCAAGUCGAACGGAAAGGCCCUGCUUUUGUGGGGUGCUCGAGUGGCGAACGGGUGAGUAACACGUGAGUAACCUGCCCUUGACUUUGGGAUAACUGCAGGAAACUGGGGCUAAUACCGGAUAGGAGCUCCUGCUGCAUGGAGGGGGUUGGAGAGUUUCGGCGGUUGGGGAUGGACUCGCGGCUUAUCAGCUUGUUGGUGGGGUAGUGACUUACCAAGGCUUUGACGGGUAGCCGGCCUGAGAGGGUGACCGGCCACAUUGGGACUGAGAUACGGCCCAGACUCCUACGGGAGGCAGCAGUGGGGAAUAUUGCACAAUGGGCGGAAGCCUGAUGCAGCAACGCCGCGUGCGGGAUGACGGCAUUCGGGUUGUAAACCGCUUUCGCCUGUGACGAAGCGUGAGUGACGGUACUGGGUAAAGAAGCCCCGGCUAACUACGUG